rfam:Anolis carolinensis unplaced genomic scaffold chrTn0103, whole genome shotgun sequence.
GCCCCGGUGGCAAAGUGCGUUAAAGCACUGAGCUGCAGACUGAAAGGUCCCAGGUUCAAAUCCUGGGAGCGGCG